GACGAACGCUGGCGGCGUGCCUAAUACAUGCAAGUAGAACGCUGAAGGAGGAGCUUGCUUCUCCGGAUGAGUUGCGAACGGGUGAGUAACGCGUAGGUAACCUGCCUGGUAGCGGGGGAUAACUAUUGGAAACGAUAGCUAAUACCGCAUAACAGUAGAUAUUGCAUGAUAUCUGCUUGAAAGGUGCAAUUGCAUCACUACCAGAUGGACCUGCGUUGUAUUGGCUAGUUGGUGAGGUAACGGCUCACCAAGGCGACGAUACAUAGCCGACCUGAGAGGGUGAUCGGCCACACUGGGACUGAGACACGGCCCAGACUCCUACGGGAGGCAGCAGUAGGGAAUCUUCGGCAAUGGACGGAAGUCUGACCGAGCAACGCCGCGUGAGUGAAGAAGGUUUUCGGAUCGUAAAGCUCUGUUGUAAGAGAAGAACGAGUGUGAGAGUGGAAAGUUCACACUGUGACGGUAUCUUACCAGAAAGGGACGGCUAACUACGUG
rnacentral:rRNA from 1 species